UACGGAGGGGGCGAGCGUUAUUCGGAAUUAUUGGGCGUAAAGGGCGCGUAGGCGGCUGUACAAGUCAAAGGUGAAAUCCCUCGGCUCAACUGAGGAACUGCCUUUGAAACUGUACGGCUUGAGGCCGGGAGGGGGUAGCGGAAUUCCUGGUGUAGCGGUGAAAUGCGUAGAUAUCAGGAGGAACACCUGUGGUGUAGACAGCUUACUGGACCAUUUCUGACGCUGAGACACGAAAGCGUGGGUAGCAAACAGG
rnacentral:rRNA from 1 species